UAGAGAGAAAUAAAAGAAGUAGAAGAGGGAUGAUGGAAUCUCAAGAAAAUUCCUCUAGGUAGUUAAGUUCUGACCCAG